UUUUACUGUAGGGCAGAAUGCUAAUGAGGCUGCACUCUGAUCAAAGGAGCUUGUGCAAUUACCCCAACUUCCACCCAAGGAGGCCUGAGAACACCACAAAUAUCUGUGUGUGCGCGUGUGUGUGUGUGUGUGUGUGUGUGUGUGGUGUUCCCAGUAUACUGUUCUAGACCUCCAGCAGUGACGGCAGAGACCACGGAACUGACUAGAUUAGGCCUCCAGACACACCCUCAGACAAAACAGACCUUGCUUCAGGAUCUUCACACAAUGAGGCUUCAGAAAGCCCAGCCUGGAGAAAUGUACCUAUUAAAGACUCUCAGAUGUCUCUGUUUGUGUGUGUGUGUGUGUGUGUGUGUGUGUGUGUGUGUGUGUGUGUAGGGAUAUGUUUGUGAUGCAUGUAUCCAUGCAGAGAAAGGGUGACAAGCUUUUACUGGAGGAAAUUGUGGAUAAUGUUCUGUCCAAUUAGUUUUACAUAAUGCAGGAUCACAAAGGAGAAACCAUCACCCUACUAAUUCUAUUACAGAGAGUGCAUGUGUAAUUUCAGUGUAAUAAGAAUGUGGUUAUGUUAUUACCAAGCAAAAAGGCUUAGAGAUUAAAGCGUGCUCUCAAUCUGCAUCCAGAGAGAGAGAGAAAAAAACGAGAGAAAACCGUGAAGGUGUGAGGGACCUUACCUGCCUCUGCACUUCAGCUAGGUGAUAAGGCAGAGCACCUUCUUCCAGAGGAGCUAUUCUCUCAAUAUCAGCCAGGUUCAGCCACCUACACACACCACAGCACAGAGAGACAAUGUGCAUACAUGUAUGUGAGACAGGCCAUAAAGACAGAAAGAGCAGUAAAGACAGACGUGCACAGAAGAAGAGAGAGAAAAGCAGAAAGAUAACAGAAGACUGUGAAGUGAAAGAGAGACACACAGCAGGAAGAGUUAGAAUGAGAUGCCAGGAAAGCUUCACUUCACUGAAGCCAGAACACCAAACACGCUGUAUCCCUCCCAGCAGCAUGAAGUCACAUUUUCCAUAAGCUUUUUUACAGUGCCGUAACACCAAGUUACUGCGUGCUUAUAUACACAGGCAGGUAAACAAAGCUGGACAUGAGCCUGCAACACACACAGAUACACACACACACACACACACACACACACACACAGAGUGAGACUCCUUCAGACAGCCAAAGGGACACACGCAGUGCUCUCCACUACACGCCACAGGCAUUCUUAUGGCUCCCUCAUGCUCUCUUUCCCAAUAAAUCAACUGGCUGGAGCCACUGUUGUUACAGAAAACAGGCAAUAACACUAAAUUUACAAGCUAUAAACCAUGCUGUAAUGUUUUAAUGGCAUUUAUAGAUUCAUUCAACAGGGGCUGUUUUGGACAAAUGUGUUCGAUAGGCAAGAACAUGAGGUCGAACUAUAAUGCCAGUGCUCAUGUUAAAAAUCAUAUCAACUGCACAGGUUGCGUUCAGGGUAAAUAAAGUCUAUCUGCAAUAUAAAAGAUCUGAGAGACAAAAUGAACCAAAAUCUCUUUUCGUAUAAUGAUUAAGCCUAAAAGCACAACACGGGGAUAUGAUUAGUGUUAAAAAGAAAAAGAAAAAAAAGGUUUUGGUAAAAUUAUAAAUAAAUGUAGCUAUAUUAAUAAAAGAAACUAUGCUUUGGAUUUAUGACAGAUUAAUGAAGCUUUGUGCAGAGAAAGAUGGAGCUUAAAUAGUGUUUACCCUGAGUGAGUGUGGAGGCCAGAGAGUUGGUACAGGAUGUCUAUCUCCAAUGGUGUGAUCUGACCAAAUUUAUUGGCGGCAUUAACAAAUUCCUCUGAGGAAAGAGUCACGGAGAGUCAUGUAAAUGACACUAAUACUACCACUGCUAUCGUUAGUACUGGUACUACUAAUAAUACUAGUCAAAACAAUAAGGUUGAUAUAAUAAUUAUUACUACAACAAUUUCAGAAUACAAACAGCCACAAAAAACACCCUUUGAGGUAGGAAGCGCAAAUGUUUUGAGGACAUAACAGAAUAACCUGCUGCCCGUGUCUAUACUGUAGUGGUGGAGAAGCUGUGCUUGGUAAGAGCAAAUCCAUAUAAAAAUUGAAAUGUCAGAUACAAGAAUGUGUAAUGAAUGAGCUAUGCAGAUCUUGCAAUAUGACAAGGGGAGAACAUCAUCAUCAAUCAGGCACAUUCUAAUUACUGUGUCUACAGAAAUAACUGGAUGAGUAUACUGUCCUUCUGCCAUUUUGGAUUUUAUUUCUGUUUCAAAUGAGACUGAAACCUGGCUGUACUGUAUUUACCAUUAAAAUAAUACAACACGAUUUAGCAAUGUAAA